AUAUUGGACAAUGGGGGCAACCCUGAUCCAGCCAUGCCGCGUGUGUGAAGAAGGCCUUCGGGUUGUAAAGCACUUUAAGUUGGGAGGAAGGCUUGAUGGCGAAUACCCCUCAGGAUUGACGUUACCAACAGAAUAAGCACCGGCUAACUCCGUGCCAGCAGCCGCGGUAAUACGGAGGGUGCAAGCGUUAAUCGGAAUUACUGGGCGUAAAGCGCGCGUAGGCGGCUAUUUAAGCUAGAUGUGAAAGCCCUGGGCUUAACCUGGGAACUGCAUUUAGAACUGGAUGGCUAGAGUAUGGAAGAGGAGUGUGGAAUUUCCGGUGUAGCGGUGAAAUGCGUAGAGAUCGGAAGGAACAUCAGUGGCGAAGGCGACACUCUGGUCCAAUACUGACGCUGAGGUGCGAAAGCGUGGGGAUCAAAC
rnacentral:rRNA from 1 species